CGCGGAUCUGCGUUAAGGGAUCGACGGGGCCGGCCGUGGCAGCUUGUGCUUGUCUGUACGGCGCUUCGUACCGACGCGCCUAAGCGGAGCCGUUACCCCGCCGCAUCCGCGCCUCCGUGCGUGUGGGGCCGCCUCAGCGCAGAGGCGCCGUGCGGGGCAGCGGGCCGGGAUCUGCCAUGGAGUCACCAUGGAGUCACCUCCAGCUCUGAGGUGCAGUGCUUCCUAGCUGGGAUACCUCCUCCCAGGUUGAAUGCUUCCUUCCAUUACGACUCCUACUCAGAUAUUUACCACAUACGCACCAUUAGAAGACGAUAUCAAGCGGGUCAGGAGACAAGAUGGGAAAUAUUUGCAGUCCUAAUUAGCCCUGUUGAUAGCCAGUGGAAAUUACAAGCGUACUAACAAUUAAAACCUGCUUCACUGGUGCAUAUUUGACAUUUCUUCCCAAAAUACCGCUAAAUACGUCUCAGAACCUCCUGGCACGCGCUGCCAUCGCUACCUUCGUCUGCAGUGAGGAGAUUUCUGAGGCCUGCCCUGCCAGCCGCAGGCCACGUCCAACCAUUGCUUCACAAAGUCAUUUCCAUCCAUGAGUUCUUGAGGCUGACACGUGGGAGCCCCACACACCGUCGGGCUGCGUGCAGCGGGCGCCCCACAGCAGCAGUGCUUUGCGGAGGCCCUUGGGAAGCCCCUCUUGAAGCAGUGGAUCUCCCACAGAGGAACGCACGCGGCUCUCGGGAUAUUUAUAAGGCAGAGCAGCUCUCCUCUGCAGCCCUUCCCUGCCGGGGCUGUAACUCACAGCUGUGCAUGGCCCCCCCGCAGCCGGGAGCUCCAUGCUCUCUGCUGUUGCUCCAUGGGGCUGAAAUGUCCGCCCUCCUGCUGCCCACGCAGCCGCUCUCCGCAUGCCUGCAACACACUGCUCUGCUAUUUCUGAGCAUUGCCAGCAGCUGUCGGCUUAUGAAGCAAGAAGAGGAAACGCAGCAGGCUUGAGGUGUCGGUGUGGGUCCUUGCUCCGCUCCUCAUUUUAACCCAAGAACCCUUAUCAGUGCACGGUGCUGGUUCUGUCCCAGUGUGUGCCACCUCCCUGCCAGAACACACAGCAGACCCACCAGGAGGCGGCUGUUCAGGUGCUUUUUGAGGCCACAUUGGCUUCUUGCACAGAGAACGUGACAUUUGUUUCUGAACAAAGUACAGCCAUGGCUUCGGAGCAGCAAGAGGAGCUCCAUGUGUCACCCCGUCGUGGCAUGCUGCAAAGCAGCCUCAGCAACUUUCUGCUCAGCUUCCUGGCAGCUGUUCUCAGUGGAUUCCCGAUGUGCUGCAUGGAGAGACUGCACUCAGAGCGUGGUGCCCACGGCUGCAAUUAGAUGCAGGGAAUGCAGCAGCAGCCAGAACACAGCGUGCUUUGUGCUGAGCUCUUUGCACUGAGCAUUCCUGGUGCGUGGGCUCCUGAAGGGAAGCAGUCCUGGAGUGGCAGCGGGGCAGCAGCAGUGGGCAGACGUCCUUCAGGGCUCCUGUGUACCCUCUCAUUUCAGCAUGGGUUUUUGCAGAGCAGGAAACCCAGCAGUGCUGUUAACAGGAGGGCUGUAAACACGUGGACAACAGCACUGCUUCCUCACAAGGGGCAUGCAUUGGAAAGCAAAAAAGCGCAGCACUGCUCUGCACAUGGAGAUGUGCAACAGAGAAGUGAAGCAAAGCGUGCAGCCACAGAACUUCAGUGAACCCGGACUAAUUGAGCCCUGCCUGUUCCUCCUUCCCCUGAAUCCCAAGCAACUCGCAAGGUGAGUGCUGCUCCUUCCCAGCAGCAGGGCAGCAGGUAUUUCCAGCUGACAGAGGCAGCGCCAGAGCCUCGGGCAGCAGAGGGUUGGUCCUGAGCUCUGCCCUUACCAAACCCCUGUGCAGCAUCCAGCCAUUCUCUGUGAGCUCUGCUGUGCUCUGUCCUCAGAUGGAAGGAGGAAAAGAGAGCAAAUAAAGCAUUUUCCCCUCACAAGGGCUGGGGGAGUGGGCACAACAGCAGCGCUGUGAAGGCCAGGACGAGCGAAGCGCAUGCAGUGCUGCCAGCAGUGCUGCUCUGUGCCACCACACCCUGUGGAGCUGUAUCUAUGACCCAGCUGGCUGCAAAAGAGCAAACACAUCUCCUUUUAAUUCAUGCAGCCCAUGCCAUGACUUUUCAGCUGGAUCAGCUCUCUGGCUCAGCGUUCCUCCCUGAGACUUUUGGGGCUCUUUGCUCAUUUUCCCCACUGUCAGACCCACGUUCCAAGGCCGCCCUGCAGCCAGGCUCCAUGUAUUCAGGGAGCAGCGUGGUGCCAGCUGUGUCCCUGGGUGAUGCUGAGGCUGCAGAGGACCUCGGUGUGCUGAACGUGCUGGCACCAGGCGCGCUCAGACCACGUGUGCUGGAGCACACAGGCAGCAGCAGCCGGCGGGGGAACGCGGGCAGGCGAGAUCAAACGGCCUGAAAGCAGGUCACGGCAUCACCCUGCUGCAGACAGCAUGGCAACUGCUCAUUAGGGUGAUUACAGGCAGAGGAGCUGCCCCGGCUCUCUGCUAAUGAGCAGCACGGGCUGCCCGACCGGUGCGGCACAAGCAAAGCCUGCGGCUGUUGGUGCACGUUCAGCUCCCGAGGUUUCCUCGUGCUCCUGUCCACCCCUGUCCAUGUCCCCAUCCCCAUCCCCAUCCCCUGCCCCUGUUCAUCCCCGGCCCCAUCCUGAGCAGUGCAGCACAGCCCCGGCCCAUUGCUGGUAUCUGAUACGACUGCGCAGAGCAUCCCAUGCAGCCCUGGCUGCCUUCCUCCGACUGCUCCGAGGAAUAGCAAUAAUGUGCGGAAUGAGAAGCUGGGUUUGGUAUUAUCCAUGUAUUUACAUUCUGCUGUAUUCCCUCUUCCUCACAACAUAAUGUUACAUAUCGCAUAUAAUUAUUGGCAGUUGAAACCGGAUGAUCUUU
rnacentral:lncRNA from 1 species